CCUACGGGGGGCAGCAGUGAGGAAUAUUGGUCAAUGGACGAGAGUCUGAACCAGCCAAGUAGCGUGAAGGAUGACUGCCCUAUGGGUUGUAAACUUCUUUUAUAUGGGAAUAAAAUGUUCCACGUGUGGGAUUUUGUAUGUACCAUAUGAAUAAGGAUCGGCUAACUCCGUGCCAGCAGCCGCGGUAAUACGGAGGAUCCGAGCGUUAUCCGGAUUUAUUGGGUUUAAAGUGAGCGUAGGUGGAUUGUUAAGUCAGUUGUGAAAGUUUGCGGCUCAACCGUAAAAUUGCAGUUGAAACUGGCAGUCUGGAGUACAGUAGAGGUGGGCGGAAUUCGUGGUGUAGCGGUGAAAUGCUUAGAUAUCACGAAGAACUCCGAUUGCGAAGGCAGCUCACUGGACUGCAACUGACACUGAGGCUCGAAAGUGUGGGUAUCAAACAGGAUUAGAUACCCCAGUAGUC
rnacentral:rRNA from 1 species